ACCUCAGCUCGGGUGAGACUACCCCCUGAAUUUAAGCAUAUUAUAAGGGGAGGAAAAGAAACUAAC
rnacentral:rRNA from 1 species